rnacentral:rRNA from 1 species
CCUACGGGUGGCAGCAGUGAGGAAUAUUGGUCAAUGGGCUUACGCCUGAACCAGCCAAGUCGCGUGAGGGAAGACUGCCCUAUGGGUUGUAAACCUCUUUUGUCAGGGAGCAAGUGGCGCUACGUGUAGCGUUAUCGAGAGGACCUGAAGAAAAAGCAGCGGCUAACGCCGUGCCAGCAGCCGCGGUAAUACGGAGGAUGCGAGCGUGAUCCGGAUUGAGUGGGGUUCAAGGGUGCGUAGGCGGAAGGCCAAGGCCGCGGUAAAAUCGCGGGGCGCAACCUCGCUCCGCCGUUGAAACGGGCGUUCUUGAGUGGGCGAGCAGUAUGCGGUCUGCGUGGUGUAGCGG